rnacentral:lncRNA from 1 species
ACGGCGGAUCUCUAACGACCUCUGUUAUCGUCACCUGCAUCAUGGCGGCCUCCGGCGGCCUUAUUUUUGGCUACGACAUCGGGAUCUCAGGUGAUUCUCUCUUUCUCUCUCUCUCUCUCCAUCUCUCUUGAACAUUUCUAUUGUGCAAAAGAUCGAUUAGAACUGCAUCUGAUAUCAUAUUACUUGAAAAAUCAAUACAAUAAACAACAGACCUGAUUUUAUAGGGGGUGUGACGACCAUGGAAUCAUUUCUGAGAUCCUUCUUUCCCAGCGUUUUGAAGAAGAUGGCAGAAGCCAAGCAGGACGACGAAUACUGCAUGUAUGACAGCCAGGCGCUAACGGCAUUCACAUCGUCG